rnacentral:snRNA from 1 species
AUACUUACCUGGCAGGGGAGACACCAUAAUCAAGAAGGUGGUUCACCCAAGGUGAGGCUCGGCCAUUGCACUCUGGUUGUGCUGGCCCCUGCGAAUUCCCCAAAUGUGGGAAUCUCGACUGCAUAAAAA